GACGAACGCUGGCGGCGUGCUUAACACAUGCAAGUCGAACGGAAAGGCCCUGCUUUUGUGGGGUGCUCGAGUGGCGAACGGGUGAGUAACACGUGAGUAACCUGCCCUUGACUUUGGGAUAACUUCAGGAAACUGGGGCUAAUACCGGAUAGGAGCUCCUGCUGCAUGGUGGGGGUUGGAAAGUUUCGGCGGUUGGGGAUGGACUCGCGGCUUAUCAGCUUGUUUGUGGGGUAGUGGCUUACCAAGGCUUUGACGGGUAGCCGGCCUGAGAGGGUGACCGGCCACAUUGGGACUGAGAUACGGCCCAGACUCCUACGGGAGGCAGCAGUGGGGAAUAUUGCACAAUGGGCGGAAGCCUGAUGCAGCAACGCCGCGUGCGGGAUGACGGCCUUCGGGUUGUAAACCGCUUUCGCCUGUGACGAAGCGUGAGUGACGGUAAUGGGUAAAGAAGCACCGGCUAAAUACGUG
rnacentral:rRNA from 1 species